GACGAACGCUGGCGGCGUGCUUAACACAUGCAAGUCGAACGGAAAGGCCCUGCUUUUGUGGGGUGCUCGAGUGGCGAACGGGUGAGUAACACGUGAGUAACCUGCCCUUGACUUUGGGAUAACUUCAGGAAACUGGGGCUAAUACCGGAUAGGAGCUCCUGCUGCAUGGUGGGGGUUGGAAAGUUUCGGCGGUUGGGGAUGGACUCGCGGCUUAUCAGCUUGUUGGUGGGGUAGUGGCUUACCAAGGCUUUGACGGGUAGCCGGCCUGAGAGGGUGACCGGCCACAUUGGGACUGAGAUACGGCCCAGACUCCUACGGGAGGCAGCAGUGGGGAAUAUUGCACAAUGGGCGGAAGCCUGAUGCAGCAACGCCGCGUGCGGGAUGGCGGCCUUCGGGUUGUAAACCGCUUUCGCCUGUGACGAAGCGUGAGUGACGGUAAUGGGUAAAGAAGCACCGGCUAACUACGUGC
rnacentral:rRNA from 1 species